GGGGAUGAAAUCAAAUGAUAUUUCUUUUACAAAGAAAAAAAGCCUUAAGGCCAUUCUAA
rnacentral:tRNA from 1 species